GCUUUAGCAGCACAUAUACUAAAAUUGGAACGAUACAGAGAAGAUUAGCCUGGCCCCUGUGCAAGGAUGACACACACAUUCGUAAAGUGUUCCAUAUUUUUUAUGCAGCACAUAUGCUAAAAU